CCUACGGGUGGCUGCAGUGGGGAAUAUUGCACAAUGGGCGCAAGCCUGAUGCAGCCAUGCCGCGUGUGUGAAGAAGGCCUUCGGGUUGUAAAGCACUUUCAGCGGGGAGGAAGGCGGUGAGGUUAAUAACCUCAUCGAUUGACGUUACCCGCAGAAGAAGCACCGGCUAACUCCGUGCCAGCAGCCGCGGUAAUACGGAGGGUGCAAGCGUUAAUCGGAAUUACUGGGCGUAAAGCGCACGCAGGCGGUCUGUCAAGUCGGAUGUGAAAUCCCCGGGCUCAACCUGGGAACUGCAUUCGAAACUGGCAGGCUAGAGUCUUGUAGAGGGGGGUAGAACUCCAGGUGUAGCGGUGAAAUGCGUAGAGAUCUGGAGGAAUACCGGUGGCGAAGGCGGCCCCCUGGACAAAGACUGACGCUCAGGUGCGAAAGCGUGGGGAGCAAACAGGAUUAGAUACCCCUGUAGUC
rnacentral:rRNA from 1 species